AGUUGGUCUGAGUGCAGUGAUGUUUACAACUAAUUGAUCACAACCAGUUACAGAUUCCUUUGUUCCUUCUCCACACCCACUGCUCCACUUGACCAGCCUUAA
ensembl:misc_RNA Y_RNA Y RNA